GGGAGCUGCGCGAGCCCGCCCGCCCCUCGACUCGGGAGACUGUAAAAGUUUGUCUCAGCUCCAGCAUCCCGAGCCUCAACACGCCCUCAGGUAAAGCCCCUCCAGCUCGAAUAAUGAAGAGACAGUCAAUGCAAUCUGCAAGCGGCGGCCCAUUGUACGCAGCUGAUGGAAAGAAGGCAACCGGGGCCGGCGAGGGCUCCUUGCCCUCUCUCCUCUCCUCAAAUAAACGCGCUCAUGUCUCCUGAUCAGUUAAAAGGUGAAAUGAACACGAUUAAAAGACAAAAAGAGAGACAGAGAUAGAGAGAUAGAGAGAGAGAGGGAGAGAAGAAAAGAAGGAAGAAAAAGAACAAGCUUUCUACAUAUAAAUUCUAAAUUUUAUUCCUCAUGUAGUACAAAGGCAGGCAGUCGAGGGCAGAGAAAGCAGGCAGGGAGAGGGAGACAGGGAGAAGCAAAGAGAACGUGGAGAGAUACGGAGCGAGUGGAAGAGGAAGGAGGAAGGAGAGCAAGCUCCAGGGAACUGGAGGCGCCCUGGACGCCCAGCCCUCCGGCCCAGCCGCCCUCGGACUCUGGACCGCGAGUCGUGGGCACCAGAAGCGAGACUCAACCAAGUCCUGCCCUACCAGACAGGGAUUGAGAAACGGAAAUUUCACCACCCUCCAGCCAAACUUUCGAGGACUGAUUGCAGAGGAACUGGUGCUCCAGAUGUUGCACUAGAGGCGCUGCAAGUGUGAGCAGAUGGCAGUAGACCUACCUCACAAGUGGGAGCAGAUAUUCUCAAUGUUUCUAUUGAAAUAUCUUUAUUUCCAUUUGCAAGAGGAGCUCUGGAGCCUCAUUCUUGUGGUAGCUACCAAGUUCUGAUAUAAGCUGUUUUCAUCAGGGAACUUUGGCAAGAGAAUGGCUGGAUCAGCAAGUCCAUCUCCAUCAUGGAACAACAACUUGAAGCUCAUCUCUGUUGAUGAGGGAAUUGCUCUGUGUAUAACUGGAUUCAUUGUGCCCAUGAGAGGAGCUAAGUUCAGGAGCCUCCUGUAUUGUCAUUUUGGACUGGAACUCAGAAGCAAGUUUUGAUAGAAAAUCUUAAAGUAAGCAUUCUGGACAUCAUGCGUAUGAUACAUAACUGGUAUUCCAUUCUGUUUCCAGCUCCAGCCAGGUAAGUUUCUUUGUAUGAUACACAACUGGUAUUCCAUUCUGCUUCCAGCUCCAGGUAGGUAAGUUCCUUUGUAGCUGAAAAGUGUGUCAGCUUUUUUCGUUUUUCAGUGUCCCUCAAUGGGACACACCCACAGUGGAAUAUUAUUCAGCCGCAAGAAAGAAGGAAAUCCUGCCAUUGGUGACAGCAUGGACCUUGAGGGUACUAUGCUAAAUGAAGUGAGCCAAAGAGAAAUAUUGCAUGGUAUCCCUUAUAUGUGGAAUCAAACAAACAAAAUUCAUACUCUUAGGAACAGAGAGGAGAAAAGUGGUUACCGGGGACUGGGAGGUAAGGGAAAUAGGGAAAGGUUGGUAAAAGGGCACAAGCUUUUAGCUGUAAAAUAUGUAAUGCCUGAGAUCCUCUGUAAAACAUGGUGACUAUAGUUGAUAACGAUGUUUUUAAAAAGUGCAGCUAUUAUAGAUAUUAGAAUAUGAAUUUCAGACUAUCAUUUUGACUUCUCUGAUUUAUUUUAGGGCAAAUCACUUAACAUGUUUGAGUCACAGUUUUUAAUUUGUAAAAUGUUUAUAGGGCUAAUGUAAGAAUAAAAUGUUAAUUUUUAAAAAGAACCUGUCUAAACUAUAAACUUACUAUAAAGGUUACCCACUGCUUUUGCAAAGUGUGGAAGUUGUGAAUAUUUAUACAAAAUAGUUAAAGAAAAUAACUUUAUCCCUUUUCCUGCAAAUAGCAAUUUAUUGCUUAUAUUUUAUAUUAAUAGGAAUACAUGAAUAAAAAUGAGGUUCGAGGUUUAGUAUAAGUUCUAAAUUCAGAGCUAGAAUUCCUGAUCUUCAGCAUCUCCAUAAUAUAAAUUAAUUUCUGUUUGAAAAUUAGGCAUCAUAUUAUUAAAUAAUUUACCUAUGACCACUUUGGCUUUGAUCCCUCAGAAAAGAGAAGUAGCAAAUUAUAGGUACUUUGAAUAAUCUAUAAGGGAAAAAAGAGCAUUAAAAUUUUUAUUUGGUACAACUCUGUGUCAGUUAAGACAAUUGCCAAAUUUGUCACUCAUUCUAUAAUCUACAUGUUACUGAGUCAGUGGUAGAUACUAAUCAAUUUUAAGCUUUUUGUUAUCUCUUACCUUUCUUCAAGCAUUUUAUUUUAUUUUAUUAUUUUUUUGGGCUGCAUCUGCAGCAUGCAGGAAUUAAAGGGCCAGGGAUUGAACCUGUGCCACAGCUGUAGCCUGAGCCAUGGGAGUGACAACACCAGAUCUGUAACCCACUGCACCACCCAGGAAACUCAUCAAGCAUUUUAAAGAACUUUUUUGGAGAACUUUUAAAAUAUUUUAUUGAAUUAUAGUUGAUUUACAAUGUUGGGUUAAUUUCUGUUACACAACAAAGUGAUUCAGUUAUACAUAUAUAUAAACAUUUUUUGUCAGAUCCUUUUCCCAUGUAGGUUAUUACAGAAUAUUGGAUAGAGUUCCUUGUGCUAUGCAGAGGUUUCCAUUGACCAUCCAUUCCAUAUACAAUAGUGUGCAUGUGCCAAUCCCAAGCCCCCAAUCUGUCCCUAACCCCCACCUGUCCCCUUUGGUAAUUAUGUUUGUUUUUAAAGUUUGUGAGUCUAUUUCUGUUUGGUAAAUAAAUUCUUUCAUAUAAUUUUUUUUCCAUAUUCCACAUAUAAGUGGUAUCAAGCAUUUUGUAUUGUCAUUUGGCCAUUUUCAGCAUCAGUAUAGUUACCAGUAACUUUGGUGAGCCCUAGACCUGUAAUAUGGGACUGCUUCAGGAAAUUUUAUCUCUUUAUUUCUCUGCAGUAAAAACAGCAGCUGUACCAACUACUAUUUGCAUUAUGUGAGACUAAGUAGUCUUUAGAGUCACUAAUCCAGGAUAGCCAGCUUAUGUUGAAGAAGACUAUACAUACUAUACAUACACCUACACACACCAUCACAUAUAUUACUACGUACAUUCAUACAUAUAAUUUUCUUCAUCAUAAUUCAUAUUCUCUUUUGAAUUGUAUUAAGCCAAAAAUAAGAAUUACCUUUAAAGCUGUUCAUUUUUUAUUAAUGGCUAUUUUUUGAAGAUAUAGAAUUAGUUGUAACUUCACUCUUUAAAUUCGUAAAUAAGCAAAAUAUAGAACAUUUCAAAUUCAUACUAUUGAAGUGUUUCUCUCGGAGUUCCCAUCGUGGCUCAGUGGUUAAUGAAUCUGACUAGGAACCAUGAGGCUGUGGGUUCAAUCCCUCGCCUUGCUCAGUGGGUUAAGGAUCCAGUGUUGCCAUGAGCUGUGGUGUAGGUCGCAGACUCGGCUCUCUGAUCCAGCAUUUCUGUGGCUAUGGUGUAGGCCUGCGGCUACAGGUCUGAUUAGACCCCUAGCCUGGGAACCUCCAUAAUGCUGCCGGUGUGGCCCUAGAAAAAGACAAAAAAAAAAAAAAAAAAAAAAAANAAAAA
rnacentral:lncRNA from 1 species